GCUUGCUUUGGCAGUGCAUAUACUAAAAUUAGAACGAUACAGAGAGUAUUAGCAUGGCCCCUGUGCAAGGAUGACACACAAAUUCAUAAAGUGUUCUUUAUUUUU